GGGGAGCCCUAGCACAGGUGCUGCAUGGCCGUCGUCAGCUCGUGCCGUGAGGUGUUGGGUUAAGUCCCGCAACGAGCGCAACCCCCGCCGUUAGUUGCCAGCGGUUCGGCCGGGCACUCUAACGGGACUGCCCGCGAAAGCGGGAGGAAGGAGGGGACGACGUCUGGUCAGCAUGGCCCUUACGGCCUGGGCGACACACGUGCUACAAUGCCCACUACAAAGCGAUGCCACCCGGCAACGGGGAGCUAAUCGCAAAAAAGGUGGGCCCAGUUCGGAUUGGGGUCUGCAACCCGACCCCAUGAAGCCGGAAUCGCUAGUAAUCGCGGAUCAGCCAUGCCGCGGUGAAUACGUUCCCGGGCCUU
rnacentral:rRNA from 1 species